rnacentral:misc_RNA from 1 species
UCCGGUUUGUCACCGGCAGUCUCACUAGAGUGCCCGUUACCGUAGCAACUAGUGGCAAGGGUUGCGCUCGUUGCGGGACUUAACCCAACACCUCACGGCACGAGCUGACGACAGCCAUGCAGCAUCUGUGGCGGUUCUCGACUUUACGAGUCGUUCCCCUUUCGGGGUUCUACUUCCGUCAUGUCAAGCCUAGGUAAGGUUCUUCGCGUUGCUUCGAAUUAAACCACACGCUCCGCUGCUUGUGCGGGCCCCCGCCUAUUCCUUUGAGUUUUAACCUUGCGGCCGUAGUCCCCAGGCGGUGAACUUAAUGCGUUAGCUGCGGCACUGAUCGGGUCAAUCCGACCAACACCUAGUUCACAACGUUUAGGGCGUGGACUAC